GAGCUAGAGAGUGAUUUUGAUUCUUUUAUAAAUAGUUAAAUUAAUUGAUCACACUAUUAGGAAAAAGCUUCCGCUAUGGGAAUUAUAUCAUGAAAAAACUUGAUUCGAACACGGACAGAUCAAAAUAAGUGAGAAGUAUAUACGGCGCGUAUGAUAAAGAAGAUCGAGUGCUGGCAUCCGCGCUGUACUCGUGUUACCUGAUGUCAAAGGAGCUGGGUGAACAAGUUGAAACUUGUAGCUUAAAUAAGUAUGAACAGGUAAUAUUCGUUUAUUGUGUUAUUGUGUGCAUAAACUACCUAUUACUUUAUUUUAUAUGUGUUGAGGGGUAUAGUCUAAUCUGUCAUUGUAUUUUCAGUUACUCGUGGAGAAAGACGUAGACACCGUUGACGGUUAAAAAUCAUCAUCAUAAUUUCGAAGGUGUAGCACUAAAAGCGAUGCCUGCUAAGUACUUUGAACAUGUCGAAUAAUUUAACAAACGUUAACGAAGAUGAUUUAUUCUACCCUUACGCGCAAGAUCCGCUUGCUGACUUCGAUGAAAGGUAUCCUGUUCAAGCGACUACCACAAAAUCGACGGCGCCUCAUGAUAACAAGAGUCAAAAGCUGAAAAGUGAUAAGAAGAAGAAGAGGAAGAUAAUUAAAUCUAAAGUUAAAUGCGGAAAAUGGAAGCAGUCAUCUUCAUUUGUGCAAAAUCGGAACGCGGAGAAAGCCACCAAGUUAAUUAAAAUCAGUAUACUGGAUUUAGGUGCUUCAAAUACAAGUGAAAAUC